CCCUCCGUGAAUGAGUUUAACCAGGGGCAACUAUGACAGAUGUCGCCCCAGCGGCCAGGGGAAGAGUGGGCUGGAACUGGAUGGAGUCGCAAUGCCCUCCAGCUGCAGCCAGGAUUCGCUAAGAUCCAACUUCCAAAGUUCCCAGAGUCCAAGGUCCCAGGCCCGGGCCCUCGUCUCAGUCCUGACAUAGGUCCCAAGGACUCAGAUCAGGAGGGGCAGGCCUCUGCGCCGCAUCCAUCCGGAGGAAGGGGGCGGGGUUUGCUCGCGACCUCCCCACCCGCAGCUGGGGGUCAGAAGCCGGGGCGAGAGAGGGCCCCAGGAGGUGAGACCAUCUGCAGGGGACGGGCUGUGCUGGGCAGAAGGACUGCUCCCCGUUUUUGAUGAGCUGCUAUGCUGGACGCUGGGGACACAGCAGUAAAACAGAUCCUGGCCUUGUGGCGCUCAGCACCCAGUGGGAGAGACGGACAAUAAACAAGAUAAGGCUAUUGGAGUGAUUUUCAAACCUAUUUUCUCAAAUCCUCACUCUCCAUCCCAUCAACAAAGAAAAACACUCCAAGCGUUUCCCCAUAAGCCGUAGGACCACGUCCGGUCCCUCCACCUGCUGUUUCCGAGUUCAAAAUUGAGUACACAGUGGAAUGGGGGUGUCUACGGAAACGAACCUGGAAGGCCAUCCAUCUUUUAGGACCCGGCAUGGCUGGAAGGCUUCAUGGAAGAGGAGGCAUUGCUGCUGGGGCUUGGAAGAAAGCAGAAACGUAAAAUCCAAAGUCCGAGAAGUGGGAGAGGGAGAAAGGUGUGGCAUCAGGGAAGUCAGCAGGCUGUUUGAGGAAAGUGGAAAUGGUCAGCUGUAAGGAAUGCUACAGAGAGAUUAGGAAGUUAGCAGGCACCGGGGGUGGCGUCGGAAAAGCCUCCGUCCCGGGGUCACGAGACGGGGCGGUCACACAGUCUGGAGAUGUCCUUCCCGCAGAUCGCUCAUCAUUACGAAGGCGAAAAGACACCUGUGAUGGGGAGAUCCGGUUGGUGCACUGGAGCCGAGUGGUCGAGCUUCACAUCACCAGUCAGGUGACAAAUCAGGAGCACGUGCCUCCUGGCACCAUGCACCGAGGGGGACGCGACAGCCCUCCCGAAACUGCUCAGUGUCAAAAACACGUCGAAUCUGAUUGUGAGGAAACAGCCGAUCGUGGGAGGUUCUAGAAGAUACCUGGCCCAGACCCCUGAAAACCAACAGUCAUGAAACACGCAAAAAAAAGGCAGGGGAAGGUUCUAGAUGAAAAAAAGAGAUGAAGAAACAUGUCAGGAAAAUGCAACCUGUGAUCCCCCUUGGAGCCUGGAUUUGUUUCUACCUCCUUGCCCUUCCCCUCCCCCCAAAAAACAAAUCCCAACUGUAGAAGAUGCGCUCGGUGAGAAUAUAAAAUGAUGCAGCUGCGGUAGAAAACAAUACAGCAGUUCCUCAAAAAAAUAACAUAGAAUUACCAUACGAUCUAGCAUUCCAUAUCUGGGUAUAUACACAAAAGAAUUGAGAGCAGGGCCUCAAAAAUAUUUAUUGUACACUUGUGCCUACAGCAGCAUUAUUCACAACGGCCAAAAGGUGGAAAUAGCUUAAAUGGCCAUCGAUGGAUGAUGGAUGCACACAUCUGGUGUCCAGACAGUGGAAUAUUAUUCGGCCUUAAAAAAGGAGAUUCUGAUACAUGUGACAGCAUGGAGGACCCUUGAAGACACUAUGCUGAGUGAAAGGACACAGACACAGAAGGACAGAUACCAUGUGAUCCCACUCACAGGAGGUCCCCAGAGGAGUCAGAUCCAUAGGGACAGGAAGUAGAUGGUAGGGCCAGGGCUGGGGGAGGGGAGGGGAGCGAGCGUUUCAUGGGGACAGAGGGUCAGUUUGGGAAGAGAAGAACGUUCUGGAGACGGACGGUGGGGAGAAGAACGUUCUGGAGACGGGCGGUGGCAGAGCAAUGUGAAUGUGCUUAAUGCCGCUGAGCUGUGCUUGAAAAUGACUAAGACGAUAAAUUUUACAUUACUUAUAUAUUGCUACAAUAACAAAGACGUGGGACCAUGGGAAAGUGGAAUGUGGGGCACAGGUAUGAGAGGGUACUGUUGUCUCCGCAUAAACCCUCUGAGAGACAACAGUACUGUGCUUUUCUAGAAGUUUCUGAUUCUAAGCUCAUGGGAUGUAGCAAUGAAGCGCUAUGAUGCUGGACAGGAGGAGAGCCAGCAUGGUCACCGUCAGCGGCUGGGGCGCCAGGGCGAGGUCGCCUGUCGACCGUAUCCCCUGACCUCGCUUCUGUGCGGCUGGAAUUUUCCCAAAUAAAAAGUCUAAAGCGAUAAAAAAGACAUGGACAGCGAGGUGACAAGGACCUCCAGGCCCUAUGGGUGAAUAGUAUUCUCUCCAUU